rnacentral:miRNA from 1 species
AUUGCUGAUCACCUCUCUAAU